AAAAAAAAGGUGAUGCCUCUAGGAAUAAUUCCAACUAAGAGAGGGGAUUGUUAUGCAUUACAAUCCACACAAAAGCAUAUUAGUUGAACCUGCAUGUAUAUAAUACACAAUUUAUGUGCAGAAUUCAGAACCACCAUCAUUACAGCUCUAACAAUUAAAAUGGAGAAAAUAAUACUUACUCCCACAAAAAUGUAUUAGCAAUAUCACUCAAAAUUUAAAAGAGCAACAAUAUAUAUACAUUUGUGGAGUAAGCAAAUGCAAAAGACUCCCAACACUAAACUACAAAGCUCACAAAAUUGAAAGCAGGAGACGGAUGUUCACCUAGACAUCUAGAGACCAUUUACAUCCCCGUCCACAUAACCUAUAAUCCAUAGGAGGGAGAAAGCAGCUUCUUUACACAGGUAACUAUAUAAAUCAUUAUACAUAUGCAUCUCCAUCUCAUCUACAGGUCAAGUAAAUGAGUUUGUGCAUGCAUGAAGCUUCUGUUCCUAGUAAUCUACUACGACAAAGGAUAUGGUUCUUGGUUUUAGGAUAUCAAAAUUCCACGGGAUCACGUCCUUCCUAUCAGCUCAGCUCACAUGGACUCAACUUUAUAUGUUACCUCGAUUGGGCAAUGCCAGGGGAAACUUGAAAUCUUGAACCUCAUUUUAAUCUUCAUGAUCCUCUUUUAAUAGUAAUGUCCACAGGGGCUCCCAUGUGAAAAUGUAUUUCAAGUUGGAGAAUAAACACAGGUCUCAAUUAUUCAACACACAAUCUGCUGGAUGCCAUUCCUUUGAAGACACAAUCUGCAAAAAAAGGGCACCAGGAUCAAGAAGAGAACCAAGAGUUUAUUUUCAUAACAAGACUUGCAACAUAGAAUUCAACUCUACACAUUACUUGAUCCUGAUGCGAUCCAUCCUCUAAAGCUAUCUUCAACCUUUUUGCUUGAGACUCAGAAUUUAGUGUACUUUGAUUGUCUUCAUCCAUAAAAUUCUGACCUGUCCCCUCUGUAGAAAAACCUAAUAAUGUGAAUAAAAGUGACGAUAUGAUAAAGAAAAAGAAUGAUCUAUACAAACUGAUAUGGACUCUUUCCAACUACUACUUGGAUUUACACACUCAUGCAUCGAACUUCAGAAUUUGUUUUUGAUCGGAAUCAAAACCCAAUUCAGUUAGGAAGCAAGUAAAUAGUGUGCAAAAUCGAUCCUCUAUCUCUUAUUUAACCAUCCAAGCAACUCAAGAAAAGAAGAUGUGAAAAAAAAACAUGUCAUCAUUAUCAUUCCUCAAAGAGCAGAAAGAUGUAGAUGUAUAAAGCACAAGUUCAACACCAGAGAUUUACAGUCACCAAAGUACGAAGCAUAAUAUGCAACUUUUAACCGUCAAAGCAUAGAAAGCAAUUACAAACAAUGUCAUCACAUAACAUAUUAACAUUUAACCAUGACUUUUAAGUUUUAACAUAUACUGUAUAUAAAGCACCCCUUCCAUUAAACAUUCCAAAGAAAAGUAACAUCAUUUUAAGAACUUAUAAUUUCCAGAGACCAAUAGCAUGAAAAUUGUAAAACAGUUAAAUGGAUCUUUCUUUCCUCUCGCCAAAUAGGGAACAAAUAAAAGUAAAAAACUUUAGAAUCUAGGGCGCGUGGUUAAGUUAAAGCAUAGAAUUAGAAAGCAAUUGCAAAACUGUCAUCAUCAUGCAACAUAUAACUGACCCUAAAUGUGUUAGCUUAUUAAAGAAAAUUCUGAAUUUGUAUAUGAAACAACUAGCACUCAUUCCAUUAAACAUUUCAAAGAUAAAGCUACAGCAUUUUAAAAACAUGCAAUUUCUAGAGCCCGAUAGGAUGAAAAUGGUACAAAGCCAAUACGAAAUUUGUCUAGCAAAAGCUAUAUAACAUAAGGUUGAUAUCACUUUCUGCACCAAAUAAAUAACUACUUACCAAUUGUACAUGAGGGUCAGAGGAUUAUGUGAUAGUAGAGUAAGUACUUGAGAAAUUGGGUCACCUUUUUCAGAAUUUUGAAACAUCUAUUGUAGAGAAAGUUCAUCUGUCCCGCCAUUACAUCAUGAAUAAAGUCAAAAAAGGAAAGAGGAGAGAAGAAAAACCUAAGGAUACUUAACUCUUUCGAGUAAUUCAUACAUAAAAACUGAUAAGGUGGAGGAUAGUUUUGUAUGCUCAAGUGGACCCACAAACAGAUAAAACAUAAACCAUGAUUACUCACAAGUAGAUCAUAAUAAAACAUGCCUUCUUUCUUCCGUGUAUAUGCUUUUCUAUCAUCAAUUAUACUCGUCAUAUGCAAUAACGGAUAUCUUUAUGCACACAAAAGGAAAUUAACAAAAGAUAAUAGAACACUCACAUAACAACCGGAACAAACUCAUCAAGAAUUUAAAAGUUUGACCUCAACAAAGAAAGGCCAAGUUUGACAUUGAUGGUUUUGAGAUUACCUCUACAUAGGUCAAUUAUGUCCUGUGAACAUGUUUGUGUUCCAUAAGAUAUCAUCCCUUCCCCUUGUUUCCAUGUCCUAAUAAGCUUCAUUGAUGUGGAUACUUUAGUAAGUGAUGGAUGACAGUGCACACCCACACGCUUGGAAUGGUGUGUCCUCCUAUUCUCAAGAGAUGCAUGGGGAUCAGCUGAAGUACUACUGUGAAUAGGCUCACCCACUGCACACUUACUCUUUUGCCAACAUCUAUUACGCGAAACAUCAUACUGGCAUAAGACAAAAGUAACAAAUAUAUUUAGUUUUGUACAGUUAGCCCAGCCCCAGGAUAAGAAUUCAACAACAUUAAGUUUCACGAACCUGGUUAGAAGCAUUGUUCAAAUUGAUCAACUGCUUCCGAGAUAUAUUUAUGUCUCUCAAGUUGUGCCCUGAGCAUCGUGCAAGCACAGAUUUCGAUUGGUACAACUGUUCAACAAAUGACAUUUCCAAAUGAUAGAGAUAUGAAUUGUGUUUCCCAUUUGUCCAUGCUGUGCAUUCAUCCUGCAGCCAAGGAAAUUGAGUGGCAAAUCUAAACACAUGUAUAGACUAAAAAGAGCACCACUGCGACCAUAUUACAUACUAAUCAUAUAAAAGCUUUUAAGAAACCAGCUGUGACCAUAUCACAUGCUAAUAAUAUCGAAGCUUUUAAAAUGCAAUAUUUCAUCAAAAAAACAAAAAACAGAGAUAAUUGAUAGUACGUUUUACAUUACCAUUAAAAUGUUAAUGUACAUUUGGGAGCACAUGUUGAUAUGUAUACAUUUGGAAAUUUCUUACCCCUUACACAAAAUGGAUACUAAAAUGUGUUUUCAUCAAAUAUUAGACAAAAUUAUAAAUAAUUUCCAUAAGGCUCUACAUCUAAAAGUCCUAAGUCGCAACUUUUUCAUUCUAAAGAGCUAAAGACUACUUCGGUACCUACAUUCCCUUAGUAAGAAUAGAAUGCAGAAUAUAUUCAACCAAAUCUUGAUAAGACCUAUGUGGCCAUGGACAUAUUAGAGAGAGAGAGAGAGUGAGAGGAAUAUUGUUCAUAAGACAGAAACAUCUAUUGGCGGCAAAUUUGAACAUAAUGUUGCAGUUCAUUUGAUGAAUCACUAAGUAACAAAAAUUAUAGUAAGACUACGCCAACGUUGACAGCCUUAUAAUAUGAAACUUGGCUAUUACACGUGCAUACAUGCAAAAAUAUGAUACCAUCACUCUCCAACAAAAAGAACAGCUGAGAAUACAUUUAUAGCUUCAAUGCUUGAUCUUAAAAUUCAAUGCAGAAUAAGCUAAUAUUUGUAGAAAUUCAGUGGGCCCGGCUGAGUUACGCCAAAAGCCAUACAUAACAAGUGCUUAUCAGUUUCAAAUUUUUUUUAUUACAAUAGUUCAGUUUCAGAAGAAAAAGGAUGGUUUAUUAGUGACGGCAGUGGUUGUUUUAUACAUGAAGGCGGAGAUAACUCGAAGAGUCAACCAUACUUUACCAGUUGAUUGUUGUUUUAACCCAUUACUAGAUGAUAGUAUAAAUUUGGCCAUCUUGUAUAUCUCGUUGGUAUUCAACUGGACAUUUCUCCAACAACCUAUCAUUCACUGCAGCUCUUUUGAGAAUAUCCAAUUAGUCAAGAAAAUCCACAUUACUUAAAUGGAAUUAAAACCCAUCCAAAAUUACAAUCAUAUUUCAUGUAGAAGGCCUUGCCCUUGCUAACACCUUCGCCAUAACUUAAAUCACAUAGUUAAACAAAAUGUUCCUUCAGUCAGCAAUGGAUUUCAGCUCUUCCUUGUUUUAAUAAUUCAGUACAACAGACCAAGUUCUGAAAGAAGCAUUCAUAUACAGAAUAACAUACCAAUCACUGAAUACAAUGAAAUUGAAGGACUGAACUCAGACUUCUUUUUAAAUGUCUUUCUUUAAAUAGCUCACAAAGAGCCAUCACACUGUCGACCCUUGCUUCCCACGAACUCGCUCAAAUGUGACAUGUAUUUCCAAAAAGGAUGGUAUGCUAAUCACUAAUAUAUAUCAUCUAAACGCUUCCGAUCUGUUAUCACGGACAAAAUAACCUGUCUAACAUCAAUAUAUCAUAAUCACCAAGUCAAUUUCAGGUUUUUUAAUAGCCGGAAAGGAUAUAUAAAUUUCCAUGAAAAUAUAAACUCAAAAGCUUCCAUAACAGCAAUGUUUAAGAUACAUGGAACAGUCAGGUCAGUUAUCCUCCUUCCUCACCGCAGUAACAUAUUUCAACAAUAAAAAUAAUUUCCUCCUUCAUAUUCCACACAAACCAAUUAUUACAGAGUUGAUAGUGUUUCCUUUCCGUAUAGAAAUUAAAAUCCACCAUUGAGCUUGCCUCGAAAACAAAAAUCUAGAGAAAUCACGGAGGAUCGACGAGUAACAGCCUAACUUAAGCAACAUUUACAUAAAUACUUCCAACCAAUCCACUGAACACAGGAUCUCCUGCAAUUAAGCCUCACACACUAUUGCAUCGUACAGCCUCAGAAUCGAGAGAAGAAAAAGAGGAGUUACCGGCGUCACAUUCUUCGAAUGGCGAAAGGGAUCCUCGCAGUUCUCAACAGUCAAGGACGAUGCAUCCGAGUUCGACCGAAUCAAGUGGUAGUCGCAAACUGUAUCAGCCGCCGCCACCGCCAGAGGCCGACGCUGAGUCUCCGAACCCAAAAUUCCUUCCAUGAGCAGAUUGUGGUGAUCAAACAGAAGAAAAAUAUCUGGGUAAAUGAAAGGAGAAGACAAACCCUUGGCCAAAAUUUGGGAGAGAGAGAGGCGGUGUGAGAGAGAGAGCGAAGGCUCCACAUGGAAACGCUUUUACACGUGUCAAUAGUAGGAGUUGAGUGCCACGUCAGACCAAGGCUGAUAAAUAUCUACAACAACCAACGCCAGUCAGAUAUUUUUUCCCCAGUUGUCUUCACUUGCCGCUUCUUUUUUCCGUUUUUUUUUUUGGGUAGUGUCAAGUGUGUUGACAAAACUAUGAACAUUUUAGAAGAGAGGUUAAAAUAAAAUAAAAUAAAGUUGCAUAAUGCAUGAACAAGAAUUGCACUCUUAAAUUGAACAUUAGUUAUUAAUCACCUCUAAUUCGGCAAACUAUAUCGUCGAAAUCUGAAUGAAAUACCAUCAUUUAUCAUAUUCUCCCGUCAUUUUUAAAUUGAUAUACUUAACAUAUGAAUACUUUUAUCUGCAGUUUCCUAUUAUUAAUUCUUUUCAAAUAAAUCAUUUGUGUGAUUGAGAACUAAUUCAACACAAUGGAUUUGCACAUCGAAAAACAAGUAAAAAGAAAUGAUAAGUGUGCGGCAAAUCAUCUUUUUAAUAUAUGCAUAAGUCAUACUUCGAAUAAUAGAAAAAUCUCAGAUGCUUCGACUCGCAUUAAAUAAUUGCAGAAGAGCUUAGCCAGACUGGGAAGCCAUCAUGGAAGAAGUGGUCACGAGAAAACACAAGAUAAAUUGAGUAAUUCACGGGUUAUGCAUUAAGGGGCGUUUACUUUGCAAUUUGCAUGAUUGAUAAAAUGGAUGAUUGAGUAUUUUUAUUCUUAAGAGUAGGAUUACUUCAAUCUCACCAUUUUGAUGGGAUAAGAAUUAAGCAAAACUAGCUUAAAGAAUAAAAAUAAUCAAGGGCCUUGGGAUAUCUCAAAGUUGCAAUCUAUCAAAGUAAACAAGAGAUUAGUCUUACUAUUUUUAUCAAUCAAGACUUAUCCACCAAAGUAAACACCUCUAAAUGUUCAAUUCCUGCCUAAGAUUAUUUCAAUUCAUAAUUUAACUCAACUCAAAUUUUUAAUAAGAUACCUAUUUCUCACUCUCGUUAGAUAUAGCCCACGGCCCAACAUCAAUAUUAAUUUCUACUUCUGCCAAUGACUUUGUCACAACACUAAUCCAACUAAAAAAUUCAAAAUAUAUUACUGAGUUUUUGGAUACUAUUAAAACAAUUAUUGAUUUUUAGUAUUCAAAAGAUAUUGAGGGUUCAGCUUAAUAUGCAAAGUUUGGAUGAUAUUGUGAGGUCGAAAAGUAAAUGGGAUGAUAUGGAUCCGAAAAUACGUCUAUGAGAAAUAAUAUACAUAUAAGAAUUAGUGAGAGAGUGAGAGAGAGAGUGUGUUUUAGUUUGUAUAAUUAAGAUUAUUUGGAUCCAUAACUUCAAAAGUAUAGUACUCCCUCCGUUCUAUAAGGCUUGUCUUAUUUCUUUUGGGCACGGUUAUUAAAAAGAGUAUAAUUAAUGUAGUAAAAGUGUGGUGUUCAUAAUGUUUGUAGUGUAAAAUCAUUACCAAAUAUAGAAACAUGACAAGAUCAAAAAGACAAUCCAAAAAAGAAAAUAUGAUAAGAUGAAUGGGACGAAGGGAGUAUUAUAGUGCGUAGACGCCUAGAUAAGCACCUCUAAGUAACUUCUCCAUUAAUUUAGCUUAGCCAGAAUUUGUUUAUUUCAAAUUCGUAAAUGUACUUGAGCAUGUGGGUGACCUCCAAGCAAAGUAAUUCACCUUUAAAUAAUAAUAAUAAAUCAUCUUGCUGAACUACUCUAACAUUUGUAGUAUUAUCAAAAGUAACCGAAUCCAUGAAACUAUGGGAAUUGUAGAAAUAAUAUUAAUCCAAGCACACCCUAAUAUUGCCAUCACCAUGUUAUGGGCAUAGCUAUAUAUCAUAUCCUAUAAUACUAUAUAGCCCAAUAAUGUCGUAUUGGCUUUCUCAGAUAAAUGUAAAAAAAAAAUGUAGCACUAAUUCUUUUCUUUAAUAGAGCCCACUAUAGAAGAGCGGCGAUGAUUAGAAUUGUUUAUUGCAACAUCUUUGAACGGCGUAACGGUAGGCUGGCCUGGUUUCAUAUUGCGUCGUCUGCAAACAUUAUAGAAAUAUUUUUUGGUUGCACUCUUGAAUUUGAAUACCAACCAACCAGUAUUCAUUAUACGUAUAUAAUUUGAAUUCACACAUUAUAUCAGAGACGUUUUGAUACGCAAUCAAUCAAUCGUGUUAUGGUGUGAAUUAUUGACCUUCCACUAGGGCUGGGAAUCGGGUCGGGUUCGGGUACCCUACCCGAAAAAUCGGGUACCCGAACCCGAAAUACCCUAAAAUCACUACCCGAACCCGACCCCGAUUUUCAAAUCGGGUACCCUAAUACCCGACUCGGGUACCCGAGUCGGGUAUUCGGGUACCUAAUUACCCGAGUCGACUCAGUUUCCCGUUUCCAGUUUCCAGUUUCCAUCGAAGAAAUCAAAACUCACAACGAAAUUCGACCAAAAUUCAACCCCCACCGUCGAUUAAUUCGAAAUCCACCAAAACUCACAACGAAAUUCCACCAAAAUUCCACCAAAAUUCAACGAAAUCUGGAAAAUUAAUUCGAAAUCUGUAUGAAAAAAAGAAGAAGAAGAAGAAGAAGAAGAAGCGCUCCUAUCGAGGGUCGCGGUGGCCGGUGGGAGUUGCGGCCUCGUCGGAGUUUGGGACUGGGGAGGCUGGGACGACUGGCGAGGGGCUGGGAUGGCGCCGACGCCGGGCUGGCGAGGGGCGAGGCCGCGAGGGGCUGGGAUGGCGCAGACGCCGGGCUGGCGAGGGGCGAGGCCGCGAGGGGCUGGGAUGGCGCCGACGCCGGGCUGGCGAGGGGCGAGGGGCGACGGCGAGUGGGGCGGCCGAGAGGUUAGGGCCGGCGCCGGCGGGCUGGGAUCUGCGAGUUCAGUUUGGGAAUUGGGUUUGGGAGGGAAUUGAUUUGGGAAAACAGGGGGCGGGAGGAUCCGAGACUAGGUCUAGGGCUGGGAGUUUUACUGUUUUAGAAAUUAGAAUUCAUAUUUAAUUUAAUUAAAUAGUUUAAAAUUAUUAAUUAAAAAAAUCGGGUAUUUUCGGGUAUACCCGAUACCCGAUCGGGUAUACCCGAUACCCGUUUUUUUGAACCCCUAACUACCCGAACCCGUACCCGAUCCCGAAAAAAUCGGGUAUCGGGUACCCAAUACCCGAUUUUUUCGGGUCGGGUAUCGGGUACCCGAUUACCCGAACCCGAAAUUCCCAGCCCUACCUUCCACGUACAGUGCACUGUACAUUUUAUACGUAAUAAAUUAUUGUAUUAUAUGGAGACUUUAUAUUUUUUCUACUCUUUAAUUCAUAUUUCGAUUCACACUCUAACUGAGAUAAGGGGCAAAAGACUGAGUCGGAUAUUGAGGCAUCAAACUAUAUAAAUUACUAAAUGUCAGAUUUAUCAAAAAUGUAAGAUAAGUCAUAAGGUGAUUUUGAGUAACAUUUUGAAUUAUAUAAUUAUCACCAUCUAUAUACAUAUACAUGAACAUGAUAAUGAUAAUGAUAAUGAUAAUGAUAAUGAUAAUGAUAGCAGUAGCUUUUUCACUGUCUAAACAGAAUAAUGCAAUGAUUCAAUCUCAAUAAUCUAGGCGGUCGUUGCUGUGCUGUGUACGUUGACUCAGAUUUUGUUUUAACCUCAUAAAUAUCGAUUCAGAUUUUGUUUUUAGCAGGAAAAUAUUAAUUACAGACCACAAAGAAUAAAUCGCCUAACGCAAUUACUCGCUCCUUACCGUUAACUAGAACAGUAUUUCUUUUUGGAUAAUUUCACGAAAUUUGAGUUAUUUCUUUAUAUUGUAUUUUUUUUAUUCAUUUUUUCACCUAUCACACCUAACACACAAAAUACUAACUCUUUAAAAUUCGUGCUGAAAAAAAUUUGCUAAGCUUCACGGAAUAAAGAGAGUACUAAUUUUUUUUUAAUUUUUUUUAAGACGCGCAAUUAUUAAUUUCCAAUAACGUUAUAUAUAUUUUUUUUAAUUGGAGGGGGGAGGGGGAGCGGUGGAGUUUAAAUCCUAAACCUCAUUGUUCAUAGACAGGAGUUUGCAUCGCUUGAUGCCCCCUUGAAAACUUCAAUAACAUUAUAUGAAAAUUAUAGAUCGCGAGUUUUUCUUUUUGAUAAUGUGUGUAACUCGCUAUUGUUGUGAUGUAUGUUUAUUCAUAGUUUAUUUUUAAGUUAUAAAUAUUAGAACAUCUUCAAUGGCCGGCUCUAGGGUCGGUUCGAGUCGUGUGAUCUGGGGGGGCGAGUGGGAUUGAAGCGAGGCUGAGAGAAAGAGCCGGGUGCGAAGGCCGAAAAGUGAGGCACGUGUUAUACACGCACCCACUUAAAGAAAAUACAAAACUCAGCGUAUUUUUCCAAAAGAUUGAAUUUUAUUUAUUUAUUAUAAUUUUUUUUAACCUGAUCGUUGCAUCCAACGACCCUUUUUUAUUUUAUUUUUCAUUUUUUAAUUCAAAUCUCUCUUUAUAAAUGGCACUAUUUCAUCCUCAUUUGCUACAUUCAACAUUACAUUUUUCCAUCUUUUUCUUCCAUUUUUUUCAUCUUCUUCUCUCAUUUCAAUUCCAAACUUACUACAAAAAUGGAAUGAGAAUUCAACGAGUGCAUGAAAAAUAAAUCUCAAGGAUCGGGGGUUUCUACUUCUUCGCCAAUGGGGUUUGCGCAUUUCUCUCAAGGCUCGAAUAUCUUCUUCUCGUGCCAUCUUUGUAUCAACUUGAACGCAACUCGUUUCGUUCAAGAUGAUGUAGCCGAAAUUCUGUCACUCCCGAAGACAACAAAGAUCCGCACCAGGUACAUUAUAGCAGAUACAGAGCUUGUUUGUAUGUUGUGGGCGGAGGCUACCCACAACUUAGUCUUGGUAUAGACCAAAAUGCUCUCCAAUAUUGGGCAAAUAUCACUUGAAGAUACAACGAUGCAGUCGAUGCUCGACCUUCCAACACUCUUGCUCGUUACAACAAGCAAAUCAAGUCUCACUUUUAACGCGUCCAAAAGGACGUCAAGCAGUGAGAGACGAUCUAUGAAAAGUGUAGAGCCAACUGGGGGAGUGGAAUGAGUGAUGAAUAAAUCAUUGAACAGACACAAGAGAUCUACAACGCCAACCAUGGAGCUAGAUUCAACUACUUCAAACUUUGGCAGAUUCUACGCGAAUCUCAUCGCUUCACGUAUACCGGUGAGGAAGAUGUGCACUCGUCGAAGAAGUUCAAGGAAUCGGAAGGGCAGGCCACAACUACAUCUUCCGAGCCAAGUAUCACAACAAGACCCCAAGACCAAAAAACAGCCAAUCGCGACAAAGGCAAAGGGAAUAAGGUGGAAUCCUCAACAGACGAGGACAAGUUUCAAUACUACGAUGCAUUUUAACGCGUCGCCAAAGGAAUGGAGCUCUUCAGCACCUCCCACAAGGUAGUCGUUGAUGCUAAAAGUAAAGCUGUCGAUGUGAAAAUGGAUGUUGUUGAUUUGAAAAUCCUCAAUGCGAAUACUUCGAAGAUGUGAGAAGCACAAUUGGUAGUGUACAGUAAUAUGCUCGCUGAAGUCAUGAAGUGCAGAAAAUUGAUUUAGUCUAGAUUUUAAUUAUUAUAACUUUAAUUUUAACUAAUGUAAAAAUUAAAUUAAAUUUGAAUGAAAUACUGAAAUUGAAACUUGAAUAAUUAAAAUGGAAUAAAAUUGAAAUAGGAAAAUUAGAGCUUCUUUUAUAGCAGCAACCAAAGCGUUGCUUGGUCGGCCGCCAGGUAAGUAAUUAGCUAAAAAAAUGCAACAUGAUGUGGAGCCCGCCCAUGGUGGCAAUUAGACCGACCCCAACCUUCAAUUUAUGUUAUUAUUUGUGUGACACUUGUUAUAUUCUGAUUAUUUAUUUAAUUUAAUUUUGAUAUAAUCAUUAAAAUUGAACAUUUUUAUAUAUUAUAUUCAAAAUUCAAAAUAACAGCAUCAAUUUUUUUUAUUUUUUCAUUCUAUUUAAAUAGACAUCAAUAUUGUGACACAUAUCACUUUUGUUUUGACUCGUUAGAUUUUUUUGGAUCUUAAAUACUCCCUCCGUCCACGAAAGAACUUCAUAUCUUUCUUUUUUGGGACGUCCACGAAAGAACUUCAUACCUAUUUUUGGAUUAUACCCCACCACUUAUAAUUUCUCUUACUUUUCACUUUUCACAACUCUCAAUAUUAAUUAUAACACAUUUUCACCACUCCCAAUACACUCAACUAUCUUUUCUCCACUCUCAAUACACUCAACAAUAUUUUUUCUUAAAAUCCGCGUCACUCCCUCCUAGGAAGUUCUUUUAUGGACGGAGGGAGUAUAUCUUUUGUAUAUUGUAUUAUUUAUAAAAAAAACUCUUUACGAAUCGACACUUAUAUGUUUCAUAAUUACAUAGAAACACAAUUCUUUAUUAUUUUUUUAUCAAUUUCUAAUUUUUACAAUUUUCUAUUGUUUUAGUUUAUUUUAAUACAAUUAAAAGUAAUAAUAAAAUAAUUACUUAAAAUGUUGUGGUUGGAAGAUUGGAGUAGUCACUAAUAAACCAUAAAAUAUAUGUGUGGUUGAAUUUUGGAUACAAUAUUAGUGGUGUGAAAGAUUAAAAAAAAUAGUUAAAUAUUAAAAAUAUUGGAUGAUUUUAGAGCUUUCCACUGGAGAUGCUCCUAAACAAACCAACAAAAAGUAAACAAAAUCACCACUUAUUUAUUUUCAAAUAAAUUAGUGAAGUUGAUAAAAAUAAAAAAUAAAACAAUUAAUCAUACGAUGGGAUUUUGAUCGGAAAAGUAUGUAACAUAUACUUUAUUUGAUUAUAUUAUAAUAAAGUAUUGUAAUAGAUAUCACAAUAACUAAAUAAAUCACUAUUGUGUGAUUAAUGAAGUCGAAAUAAGUGUAUUCAUAAAAUAAAGUUGAAUUAUUUAGUGAAUUUGAAAAAAAAAUGAAAUAAAUUGAAUUGUAUAAGAUAUAUAUGUAAUGAAGGAAAUUUUAUUAAAAAUGAAAGAAUAUAUAUGUUGGCCAAUUAAAUGAAGACAUUUAUAAUAUUAAAUAUAUUAUAAUUUAAGGAUUAUGUAUGUGAGUUAUUUAUUUGAUGAAAAUUAUAAAUUUAAAUAUUAUAUAUAUUAAGGAAUAUUUAUUUUGUAUUUCCAGUUUAUUUACUUAUUUAUUUCCAGUUUAUUUAUUUUUCAUUUUAUUUAUAUAUUUAUUUUCUGAAUUUUCACCUAAUAAAAUAAUGCCAAAUAGUUAGUGCAAGAUUAGUAAAAGUAACCACAAUACAUUAACAUUACCCUUUUAGUCUUUUACACCACCUUUACACCACCUUUUUCAGUUUUCUUAAAACCCGUGCCAGCACCCAAAUGGGGCACUUUUUCGUGGACGGAGGGAGUACUUUAUUAAAGGUGAUGUAAUAAUAAGAAAAUGAACUACUACUGUGUGAGUGACGAUAAGAAAAUUAAAAUAAAUGCAUCAAACGAAUGGAUUUUGUUUGGAUAACUAUGUACCAUAUACUUUGUGAAGUCGAAAAAAAUUAUAUUCAAUGAAAUAAAGUUAAUAAAUUAUUUGAAAUUAAUUAGUGAAUUUGGAAAUAAAAUUAACAUAUAAAACUAUUUAACAUAUACUUGAGGGAAAUACAAUGCUUUAUUGAAAACAAUUAAACGUGAUAUGCCAAUAAGACAAUGAACUGCUAUACUAUAGUUUAACGAAGUCGAUAUAACUAUUUGUUAUAAAAUUAUGAGUUAUUAAUUAAUUUAAGUUAAAUUUGUGAAUAUAAUAUAUAAAUAAAUGAAAUAAAGUGAAAUGAUUCAUACAAUUGGAUUUCGGCCGCGACACUAUUUAACAUAUUUUUGGAUGAGAAAGAAUGCAUUAUACGAUGGCAUUUUGCAAUGUAUUGAAAUUAAUUAUUGAAUUUGGAAAAAUAAAAAAAUUUAUACGAUUGGAUUUCGCUUGCAAGACCAUUUAACAUAUACUCCCUCCGUCCCACGAAUCUUGACACGUUUUUCUUUUUGGACUGUCUCACGAAUCUUGACACGUUUCCUUUUUGGGUAAUAACUAUUACAUUCUCUCUCCUACUUUAUCACUUUUAUUACAUUCUCUCUCUUAUUUUAUCAAUUUUAUACUUUAUUAAUUACACACUUAAAACACUAAUCAACAAUAUAGUUAAAUUAUAUUAACAACUAAUAUUUUUAUAAUCAACAUAAGAAUUAAAUUGAAUGUAUGAAAAAGCUAAAAUGAGCUAAAAUAAACAUAAGUACACGACAUUAGAAGGUAAGUUAAUUUCCAACCAUGACUUAUUGCGGUUGCCACCGCCGGGCAAGGUGGCAAAGUAUCAUAUACAUUAGACGAAGGUCAGAGGUUCGAUUCCCCCUUGUCCCUUAGAGGGGGCGAUUUUUUUUAUGGCAACAAAUCGCUAGUUUUUUUUUAAAAAAAUCGAACAGGCAUUUUCACAAACACAUGGCGUGCAAUCACUUAAAAUCUUAUACAAAACAUAAUCAAUAUUAUUUUUUUCCUUUUUCUUUGCCUCAAAUCUGCGUUUUAAUAUUCUAAUUUGUAGCCUAUAUAUAACAUUAAUAUUUAUUUAUUUAUUUAUGGCGACAAUAGAAGAUAAGUUGAUUUCCAACGACAACCUAUUGCGGCUGCCACCGCCGGGUAAGGUGGCAAAGUAUCGUUUACAUACAAUGGACGUCGCAGGUUCGAAUCUUCUAUGCCCCUUAAAUGGGUGAUUUUUGAUAUUUGUUUCCUUUUUUUUUCUAAACAAAUCAGCCUUUUGAUAUUUUUGACCUUUUUAUUAUUUUGAAAAUCAAUUAAAAAACCACUCCAAAAUAUAUCCAUAUUAGGGUUUCUUAAAGUAUUUGAAUUAGUUCACAAAAAUCGGCUGCCUCCCUUCCAUCCAACUUAAUUUUCGAUUUUUAUUAUUUUGAAAAUCAAUUAAAAAACCACUCCAAAAAUAUAUAUCCAUAUUAGGGUUUCAUAAAGUAUUUUUUUUUUUCAUCAUUUAUUUUUCGUUAAAAAAAAUAUUUUAUCAUGUUUUUUUUCGUUAACAAAUAAGCGUUCUAAUUUUUUUUUUCAUUUUGAACAGCUUUAUUGCAUAACAUAGUUAAUAACCAAGUAAAAUUAAAUCAGCCAAUAAAAUAUGUGUCAUCUUUCAUGUAAACUUAAGUCACAACUAUGAAAAACUCGUCAGAUUGAUCCAUGUGUAAUCCACAUUGACAAAAUUGAAAAGGUUAAUAAAAUCCAAUAAUAGUGGAAGUAAUUAUAAUGGACUGGAAACUAGCAAUAAUAACUGAUGUUUUUUCCUCAAUAAGUUUAAAUCGGCUGCAUAAAUAGCAUGAAGAGAUAGCUUAAACUUGAUUUAUACAUUUGUUCAAGGAAAUCGGCUGCAUAAAUAGCAUGAAGAGAAAGCAGAAAAUCCCGAUAUCUGAUGUCUAAUUUUUUCUCAUUUCGCAACUGUAGAGUUUUAAUUUCGAAAAAAAUAUAAAUUUUAAAAGUAGUUGAGAAAUUCAAGGAAAUAAUAUUUUAAAAGAAAAUUAAUAAAACGAUAAAUAAAAAAUAAAAAAACAAUUUUAAAAUAAAAUAUAUUUUUCGAAAAAAAUGGCAAAAAAAAACAAAAUUUAGUAAAAUAAAAAUGUAAAAAAAUAUAUUUAGGAUAAGAUUAAAAGUAGUUGAUAAAUUUAAGGAAAGAAUACUUUAAAAGAAAAAUAAAAAAUGAAAAAAAUAAUAAUAACAAUUUAAAAAUAAAUAUAAUUUUCAAAAAAAAUUGGCAAAAAAAACGAAAUUUAGGUAAAAUAAAAAUGUAAAUAAAAUAUAUUUAGGAAAGAUUAAAAGUAGUUGAGAAAUUAAGGAAAAAUAUUUUAAAAGAAAAAUAAAAAAAUGAAAAAAAAAUAAAAAAACAAUUUAAAAAUAAAAUAUAUUUUUUGAAAAAAAAUGGCAAAAAAAAAUAAAUUUACAUAAAAUAAAAAUUUAAUAAAAUAUAUUUUGAAUAAGAUUAAAAGUAGUUGAAAAAUAUAAGGAAAGGAUAUUUUAGCAUGCAAAAAACCGGCUCAAUCAAAAAACCUUAAAAAAACUAUAAAAUUAGCAAAAAAAUCGGGCUCAAUCAAAAAACCUUAAAAAAACCGGUUUUUCAUGCAGUGUCCGGACACCGCAGUGUCCGAAAAUCUUUAUUGUUUAGAUAAUUUAAAAUUCAUGAAAACUGUAUUUUCAUACAUUACCCAAUCUAAAAAUAGGGCGUGGUUCGAGUGGAAGUUAUAUUUUUUUGUGAUAACGUGAGAACUAUUACAAGUUUACAAUUAAUGUAUUUGUUGUAAAAAUUAAUACAUAAUGCAUUCAUCAUUAAAAUCACUACAAAAAAACCUGCCGAACACCGACGGAUAAACCGACGGACCUUUAUUCCGUCGGUAUUCACCGACGGAUCACCGACGGAAUGGCGGCGUAUUUUUCGGUGCUUUUUUACGACGGAUAUACCGACGGAAUACCGGCGGAAUAUAUUACCGACGGACAAUUCCAUCGGUAAUGUUUUAUUUUUUAGAUUAUUAUUUAAUUUUAAUUUACGACGGAAUACCGACGGAUACUAUCCGUCGGUAUUGGUUUUAAUAACCCCAGUCGCGUCGCCUCCUUUGCUUUAGUUCUCAUCUCAGCCCUAAUUCGCAAAUUCCUCCAAAAUCCCCAAAUCGCCUCCUGCAGCAAUGCCGCCUCCUGUUUGAACACCGCCGCCCGUCACCGCUUCUCUGCCGGUGAGCACGCCGCCGCCUGCAACCCCUCGGCCGGCCGUUCCUCCUGCAGCUUCUCCACCGCCGCCUGCAACCCCUCCGCCGGCCGAACCUGCUCCAGCUUCUCCGCCGCCGACUGCAACCCGCAACCCCUCCGCCGGCCGAACCUCGUCCAGCUUCUCCGCCUCCGCCUGUGCUUUCCCCGCUCCCACCGGUUGCACCUACGCCGGCUCCGGUUGCUUCCUCCGUCGUAGAAAUCAGGUCCGUUUCACAAUUUACUCUUUUCCGCAUUUAAAUCUCAUAAUUCGAGAUAUAAAUGUAAGGCAAUUUUAGAUCUGUAGGGAUUUUCAUAAGACUUGAACCCACUGAAAAGCAGGACGCCAUUUCUUCCCGUUGAUUUCUCGCUCCCUGCUGCCUGCUUCGAUCUUGUUAUCCUUAUUCAGGUGUUUCCGCUGCCUAAUCUUCAAUUUGUCUUUGUAAGUUCAAGAAGAAGAACGUCAAAAGUUAAGCUGUAAAUACUGAAAAUGUCCAAAAUUUAGUGGAUAAUCCAGCAGCCUGCUCCGUCGGAAAUUUUCCGGCAAUCGGACGGCGGCUCCGGCGAUUAUUACCGACGGACUAGUCCGUCGGUGUUCCGUCGGCAACAGGAUGAUAGAAUCGUCGGCUACUGAGAAUAGGGCGACGGACUUUGGGUCGUUAAAUCCGUCGGCAAGUACCGACGGACAACUUUAUCCGUCGGUGUACUGUUUACCGACGCGUCUUUUAACGUCGAGCUGUCGACGUCGGCACUCCGUCGGAAUCCGCAUUUACCGACGGAAAUUGGGGUUUUGCCGACGGAAAAAUCCGUCGGUGAUCGUGAUUAAUGUUGUUGUGAAUUAAUUAAUGCGCUCAAUAAAAAAUUAAUUAAAUUUUCACUUCCUCCAGAAUUCGAAUUCAAGUGAUGCAUUCAUCCAGUAAAAUAUGCAUGCACCGUAAAUUUUAAUGAUCGUAAUAGUCUAAUUAUUAAUAAUAUUUAUUACUCUCUCUCUCUCUCUCUCUCUCUCUCUCUCUCUACUAUAUAUAUAUAUAUAUAUAUAUAUAUAUAUAUAUAUAUAGGGGGCCGCUCCAAUGAGACCCCCUAAUUUUAGUGAGAUCUAGGGCACGAUCUGGUGCGUUUAUUUUAUCAAUCCUAUGGCUGAUAUUGUAUCUGGAGGGUGAUUUUUUUUCGCAGGGUUCGAAUCCUGGAGGGAGCAGAAUAUUUUAAAUUUUGUUAUUCAUCAGUAUAUACUGCAUUGUUCAUCAGUAUAUACGGCCCUGUUCAUCAGUAUAUAUGUCUUAUUCAUUACGAAUUUUUAAAUUUUAUUUUUCAUCAGUAUAUACAUCUUGUUCAUUAGAUAUACGUUUUGUUCAUUAGUAUUAUAUGUCUUAUUCAUUGUACUCAUGUUACACGAAAAAUAGGGGGUCUCACUGGAGCGCGCCCCUAUAUAUAUAUAUAUAUAUAUAGGGUGUGGUUCUAGAGAGAACUACAUUAUUUGUGAGAACGUGAGAACCAUCAAAUCUAAUGCAUCCACUGUAAAAAUUAAUGCAUUCGCUGUUAAAAUUAAUGCACUAAAAAAUUAAAAAAAAUUGCUCCCUUCAGGAUUCGAACCCAGGAUCUGCAUUCAUCCAACAAGAUGAUGCAUCCACCGUAGAUCUUGAUGAUCGAAUGGCUGAAAAUGGUUCUCCGUUCUUCUUUUAUUUAUGGUUCUUUCUUCUCUCUCUCUCUAUAUAUAUAUAUAUAUAUAUAUAUAUAUAUAAUGAUAAAAAAAAUUCAGUACAUUGCACGGAUGUAAAUAUCAUUAAUAAUGUAUAAAUGCUUCUCUUUUUUAGUAAGGAUUAUGAUUCAUUGAUAUGAUAUAAUUUCAAUAGUUCAAUUGUUAAUAAUCUUAGGAUACAUAAUAUAAGGUAGUACUAUGAUUUAAAAUUUCAUUGUCUAGAAUAUGUGUAUGCAUGGUUACAUAUGAUGUGUUGGUAAACAAUGUGGCAGUUGGGCCUAUAGUUCCAGGGCGGGGUCUUCGGCAGGGAGACCCGCUCUCUCCGUACUUGUUCAUCCUCUGUGCAGAAGGUCUUUCUGCUAUGGUUAAUCAUGAGACGGAUAGGGGAAAUAUGCACGGUGUUCAACUUGGUCGAGGUGGCCCGACCAUUUCCCAUCUUAUGUUCGCCGACGAUUGUUUGUUCUUUUGUCGGGCGACUCGACAGGAGUGUGUGGUUCUCAAACGGGUUUUAACUGAUUAUGAGGCUGCCUCGGGUCAAGCUAUUAACUUGCAGAAGUCCGGGAUCUUUUUCAGCUCUAAUGUCAGUAUUGCUGAUCGGGAUGAGCUGUCGACUCUUAUGGGAGUUUCCCUUCCUCUCAACACUGGUAGAUACCUUGGGCUGCCCUCGCUUGUGGGGCGGAAGAAGCGAGAUAUUUUUAGCUACCUCCGUGAGUAGCUGUGGACGCGGAUGCAAGGAUGGAAUAAUAAGAAACUUUCCAAAGCCGGUAAGGAAAUUCUUAUCAAAGGAAUUGCUCAGGCCAUACCAUCCUAUUGCAUGGCUAUUUUUUCUCUACCGAUUGGGCUGACAGAUGAGCUAGAACGUAUGCUCAACUCAUUCUGGUGGGGGAAUAAUGGUGAGGUGUGAAAGGGUAUUAAAUGGAUGAAGUGGGAGAGACUUUGUGUGGAUAAGAAAUUGGGAGGGCUUGGUUUUCGCAGCCUUCAAUUAUUGAACAUUGCUCUUUUUGGAAAAACAGGGUGGCGCCUUAUAAACGAGCCUGAUGCUCUUGUUUCCAGAGUUCUUAAGGCGAAGUACUUUCCUCGGGGUGAUUUCCUUACUGCCAAUAUUGGCCACAGUCCCAGCUUCACGUGGCGCAGCAUUUUGUCGGCCCAAGAUCUUGUUAGAAAAGGUGUGCGAUGGAGGGUUGGUGAUGGCGCGAGUGUUCGCUUCUUUAAAGAUCCGUGGCUGAGAACGAUGGAGUCUUUUCGAGUCUCUCCGGAGCUUUGCCCUGUGGGUUUCGAGAAUGUUACUAUUCAGGAGUUGUUGAUGCCGGGAGGUAACUGUUGGGAUGUGGAUCUUAUUCAUAACAUGGUUUCUGAAGCGAAAUUUCAGGCGAUCAUUAGCACUCCCAUCUUCUGUAAUGCUGGGCCUAAUAAACUUAUAUGGCAUUUUUCCAACAAUGGGUGCUAUACUGUCAAGUCCGCCUAUCAUUUGGCAAGCUCCCUCACGCUUGAUGUGCCUCAUUCGGUGGAGGGUAAGUGGGGAAGUUUAUGGAAGCUUGACGUCCCUCCUAAGGUGAAGAACUUUUUAUGGCGUGCGGCUCGAAACAACCUCCCUUCUAAAGAGCGGCUUCUCUCUCGUGGGGUUAUGGUUGGAGGCGAGUGUCCUAUUUGUAAACAAGGUUUCGAGAAUCUUUGGCAUGUUUUCCUUUUCUGCUCCUUUGCGGAGGAUUGCUGGCGGCACAACAAUCUUUGGAGAGAGAUUGAUAGUAUUACGUCCAGCUGUGAUUCGUUUGAGCUUGCAAUCUUCAAGAUUAUUGAUCAUCCAGUUGGUAGCUUCAAGGUGAGGGCUUGCAUGCUUUUAUGGCAAAUAUGGAAAGACAGAAAUUGAGCUGUUUGGAAAGAGUUGCAGCCUGCUCCAGCUCGGUCUGUCGUGGCUGCUGCCACUGCUUGGUCUGAUUGGAAACUUGCCCGUGAGCUGCCUUCUCGGACCAAUUCUUGUCCAGCCCCUGCUGUCUUGUGUAAAGGUUGGCACCCCAUGCCUACGGGUACCAUCAAAUGUAACGUGGAUGCUGCAUUUUUUGAAGAAGAAAAUAUGAUGGGUAUUGGCAUGUUUAUUCGAGAUCAUAUGGACGAGUUUGUUACUGGAAAAUCGAUGAAGGUGAGGGGUUGCUGGAGUGUUGAGGAAGGUGAAAUGUUUGGCAUAAAGGAGGCGCUUUCUUGGAUAAAAGAGCUUGGUUAUACUGUGGGUUUGGUUGAGUCGGAUUGUAAGCGCGCUUGUGAUACCAUUGCCGCGAGAGACAAGAAUUUAUCAGAAUUGGGUAUCAUUUCCGAUCUCUGUCGGACUGAGCUUCUUUCCCUGCCGGGUUUUCGCAUUUUGCAUGUUAAACGAGAUCAAAAUGUUAUCGCCCAUUGUUUGGCGAAGUUAGCGAGAGAUUUUCUUUCACAUCAUGUUUGAAGUGAACCGCCGAAUUCUGUGGUGGGUCAUCUUCAUAUCCCAUGUUCGUGUGAUCAAUAAACGGGUCUCUCGUUUCUCCUAAAAAAAAAGAAUAUGUUAUAGUAAUAUCUUAUUUUUUUCUCUUUUUUUUAAUAUUAUUUUCAAACUAUCGUUUCAUGAGACGUUUUAGUUGGAACUUACAAAAAUUAUAAAUAUAGCAUAAAUUUAUCUAUAUUGACCAAGUAACGAGUGACAUAGCUCGUCCGAAGCUGACUUGGCAAUUCAAUUUAUUAUUAUACACAUCAGCUCUCAAACGUCUAAUUUUUAAAUCACAUUGAAAUUUGAAAUUUUAAGUGAAACAAUGAUAUUUGCAAAGAAAAUUUUGAUUCGAACUAUAAAUUGAACACCCUAAAUAAUUUCAAGUUAUAUUUAUAAUUUUUAUAAGUUCAAACUAAAAAGUUAUAAUGGGAUUUGUGUUUUUUUUAUAAUUCUUAUAUUUAUCUAUAAGAAUAAUAAUAAAAUAAAUAUUGGCUGAGAAUCGCGUGGCUCAAUGAUCGCUGCCCCCGACCGGCUCUUUACGCAUUUAUACGAAACAACUGAAAAAACCUAAUCCCUCUAACUCGGUUCUCUCCUAAAUCAAAAUCUCGAAUCGAUUCAACAAAAAAGGAGUAUUUUUUCUUAUCGAAUUCAAGUAAGUCACAGCAAACCCAUAUUCCUCCCCUUUCUAAUUCGUGUAAUUUUCAUGAUUGUACUGUCCUAAACCUGUUAUGACAACAUCUGCAUGUUUCAGAGCUCGAUUCGUUUGUUGAAUUCAACAAUGUGUGUAAUUGGCGAAUUCUUAUGAAAAACUAGCGAAAUUUGCUCGAACCCAUCUCCCCUCUUUCCCAAUUCGUAUGUUGUUUCAUAGUUCGUUAACAAUGAGGGCACUUUUGCAUUUGUGGAAUUGGAUUUCCCGGUCGAUUUCCGGAGUUAUUGUCUAUAAUUUCCUUCUGUUUUAUGGGGUUUGGCAUAAUUUCAAGGAUAUUUCUUCUCCAGGCUGCGUGAUCUUCUCACAUACUAUUCAAAGAUUGAAUUUUUUUACCUUGGUUUGAUGGUUGUUUUAGGAUAUGGCUUCAACUAUGGAGCCAGUAGCUGUAAAUUCGCAGAAGCAUGACCCGGCAUGGAAGCAUUGCCAAAUGUUUAAGGUUGGGGAUAAGGUUCAGCUCAAGUGUAUAUACUGUGGGAAGAUUUUUAAGGGCGGUGGGAUUCAUAGGAUUAAGGAACACCUCGCUGGCCAAAAGGGGAAUGCUGCCACUUGUUUGAGGGUUCAGCCCGAUGUACGGAUGCAAAUGCUCGAUAGCCUGAAUGGGGUUGCUGCGAGAAAGAGGAAAAAACAGAAACUUGCAGAGGAGAUGUCUGGAUUUGGGAACCCUGGGAACAGUGGUGUUGAAGUAGUGAAUGGUUUGAAUAGUGAUAUUGUGUUGCUUCCUGUCCCCGAGAUGAUUGAACACGACGGGGAUGUGGAUGGGGAUCGGGAGGAUGAUGGUAUGAGCGGGAAAAGUGGUGUUAGGAAGAAGAAAGGGAGGGUGAGGAAGGCCCCGGAUGUGGUUAAUUCGAAUAAUGCAGCUUUGGUUGGUUUUACUGCUGGGAACUCGAAGAGGGCUAAUACCGUGAUUAGUAUGGCAGUAGGUCGUUUUUUCUUUGAUGUUGGGAUACCUGCAGAUGCUGCUAAUUCUCCUUAUUUUCAACCAAUGAUUGAUGCAAUAGCUUCUCAAGGUGCAGGAGCUGUUGGCCCUUCCUACCAUGAUCUUAGGAACUCAGUUCUGAAGAAUGUGAUUCAUGAAGUGAGAUAUGACGUUGAUCAGUGCAGCGCAGCUUGGGGAAGGACUGGUUGCUCAAUUUUGGUAGAUGAAUGGAAUUCAGGAAAAGGUAAAACCUUUGUCAACUUCUUUGCAUACUGUCCAGAAGGUACAGUUUUUUUGAGGUCGGACGAUAUAUCUCGUGCAAUAGAUUCUGCAGAUGUCCUUUAUGAAUUGUUGAAGGAAAUAGUGGAACAGGUGGGCCUGAAAAAUGUUCUGCAAGUGGUAACCACCAGUGAAGAUCGGUAUGUUAUUGCUGGGAAAAGACUCACCGAUACUUAUCCUUCUAUUUUUUGGACUCCAUGUGCUGGCCAUUGUAUUGAUUUGAUGCUUCAGGACAUAGGAGAACUCCCAGAGUGAAGAUGAUACUUGACAGGCAAGAUCAAUAUCGAGGUAUAUCUAUUCAAACGCUGCUGUCAUAAACAUGAUGAGACGGUACACAUAUGGAAUGGAUUUAGUUGAUCUGGGAACUACGCAGUCAUUUACUAAUUUUAUGACAUUGAAAAGGAUGGUAAAUAUCAGACCUAGUUUGCAGGCCAUGGUUACUUCUGACGAAUGGAUGGAAAGCUCUUACUCAAAGGACCAGGAAGCUUAUUCAGUACUAGACUCUAUUAGUAGCCAAUCAUUCUGGUCUUCAUGUGCCUCAAUAACACGCUUAACAGAUCCACUUUUGCGACUAUUAAGGAUAGUCAGAAGUCAAAAGAUGCCUGCCAUGGGGUAUGUCUUUGCGGGGUUGUAUCGAGCCAAAGAAGCUAUUAAGAAGGAACUUGACACUAAGGAAGAAUACAUGGCCUAUUGGAGUAUCAUAGAUCGCAGGUGGGAACAACUUCAAAGGCAUCCCCUUCAUGCAGCUGGUUUUUAUUUGAAUCCUAAAUUUUUCUACAGUCUUGAAGGAGACGGACAUCUUCACAUUCGGUCACUAGUAUACGAUUGCAUAGAGAGACUGGUUCCUGACCUUAAGGUCUUGGAUAAAAUUAUGAAGGAAACAGCCUCUUACCAUAGUGGUGCUGGAGACUUUGGGCGGAAGAUGGCAAUCAGAGCUAGAGAAACUUUACUUCCCAGUGAGUCUUCUUCCUGAUACGAACUUUUACAGUGCAUAUAUCAGUUUCUGCAGAGCUAAAAAAUUUCUUUCAACCAUCAUUCUAGCCCCCAUGAACUCCCAAUUGGAACCCUGUGACGAGGUAAGGGUCCAUAUGAUUUAAGAAGGUGCAUUUUGGUGUCGAUCUACAUGCAUUUCUGUGGGGUGGGAUGUGUGAGUUGAGGGGAGGGGGGGGGGGAUUGGUUUUUGUACUGAGGUUUGUGUUUGUUAUCCAUCUUUUCACUUGUAUUCCAUGAUUACUUGUUAAUGUAACAUCUUUAGCAAUUCUCACAUUGCUAACUCUAUAUAGGCAUGCACAAAGAAUAGACUGUAGUUCAUAUAUGGUGACUAGAAUAGUAAAAUUAGUUAAUGAGCGAGCACGGGAAGAUAGUUUGGCAUGUGAACUACAGCAGAGUUUAACCUUACUGAUCCUCAAUCUUACUUGAUAAAUCACAUUCUGCAAUCAUCUUAUUACUUCCUCAACUUUACUGUUUUUAGCCGAGUGGUGGCUUACAUAUGGAGGGGGAUGUCCCAAUUUGGCUCGCUUGGCUGUCCGGAUUCUCAGCCAAACUUGCUGCUUGAUCCAGCAUAAGCUAGAUAAAAUUCCUCUCGAACACUUGCAUAACAAAACAAAUUGGUUGGAGCAUAAAAGGCUCAACGAUCUUGUCUAUGUUCAGUACAACAUGUCCUUGAAGCAUAUGUAAGCAGAAAAUCUGCCUUCUUUUUGAUAUUUUAUGAUGUUGGAGUUAUAAAUUGUUAAAAGCCAAUAUAAGUUUAAUCAUAUUCCUACUCAAUCCAUAGGUUUUCGGGUGACAAACAACAGGAAGGUGUUGACAUCAUUUCUUACAAGAGCAUUGAUUUAGUUGAGGACUGGGUAAUGGAGAAGGAUUUUUGCUCAGAGAACCCUGCAAAAAAGGGAUGGACGGAUGUCGAUCCACCUGCUGUCAAUGAUGUGCACUUAGGCCCACAGAUUGAUGAUGUUCAUGCCCUUGGUGCAGGUACGGGAGCUACAUCUAGAGAUAUCCGUAGGAUGUGAUCUUUUCUUUGGCCUCAUUAUUAUUUUCAAUUUGCAGGUUUUGAUGAUUUUGAAAUUUUUGAAGCGGCAAAAGAUAGUGAAGAAGAAAAUGCUGACAAGAACAUAGGAAAAGUAGAGUCUUGUGAUUAGAAAAUCCUUCUCUGAGGCAGAGGAAAAUUAUUGAUAGAUGAGGGUAUUUAUUGAGAGCAUUAAUAAGAUGCAUAUAUCGCUUUAACUGGGUCUGUCUGCGAUUUGGAGUUCGUACAAACCUGUGCCUCGUUGCAAUCUUGUAGAAUAAAUAGCGUAGUGUGUGUAUGUCUGAAUAUAUAUCGAGUUAGAUUCUGAUUUGGCAUAAGGCUUGCAUGCACCAUUCUCCUCUGGGGCCAUUGUAAUAUUAUGUUUUCUUAUGUAAAAAGUAUCUUAUCGGUACGUCACUCUUUGUCGAGCAACUAUAUUGGCUGAAUUUGGAAAGUGUUUAUAGAUCUGUAUGCUUGAAUUUGAGAAUCCAUUUUCAUAGUGAACUUGAGUUUAAUGCUGCUUGGUUUUUGUAGAUUUUGAUCUUCCUUAAAGCUUAGGUGAAAUGAUAUCUUUUAUUGUAAAUCAUAACAAUGCUCUCCUCUUCUGGAAGUCAGACCUCAAGCAUUGCACAGGUAUGCUCUCUCUCUCUCUCUCUCUAUAAUAUUGGUUCUUGCAGGCUUGCUUUUAAAAUUAUUUUAUUCUAGCUGAUGAUGAGUAAAAUAUGUGCUAGCAUUGUAGAAGAUAUGGUUGAAAUUUUCUCUUUUAUUAUUAUUAUUAUUAUUAUUAUUAUUAUUAUUAUUAUUAUGUCAAGCAGCAUUGACUGUCACAGGGCUGGUCUCAUGGGGCAUCGAGGAUUCGAAUCUCCUCGCGAAGGAACAGAACUCAGCCUUGGCAUUCGAGCUAUGUCAAGCGCCUAACUCGGACAACUCAACUCCAAGAUAAGAAUAAUUGUAAUUGUAACUAAAGCUUGGACCCAAUUACUUGAAUUAGUGAGCUUUAGGGCUAAAGUUUACUUUACCAUCUAUAAAUAAGACUCUCAUAGGUAGAUUGGGGGGGAGGAAUUCAUUCUUUUGGCAUUACUCAACCUUGUAAUUGAAAAAUCAGGUCAUUAAUAAUGAAAUUUCUCCGGUGACCUUCCGUUUGACAUAAAUCAUUAUGAUCGAACCACGUAAAUUCUUGUGUCAUUUUACGUUGAGAUCAAUUUCACGCUUUGUGUAGAUCAAUUUCAAGUUCAACAAGUAGCGUCGUUUGUAAAAAAUUCAAAUUAGGGCGUGGAUAUUAUCUUCUUCUUUGCCUCAACAAAUAAUCUUGGUUUGUGUCAAAUUCUCUACAAAAUUCAAAAUCUUGCAUUCGAAGGGAGUUGCGGCUUUUGAAUUGUCAUGUAACAAAUUUUGAGCCGAAUUUCAAAUCAUUAAAAAUUUAUGCGUUUUUGAUCAAGAAAAUAGUGUUGAAUAACUUUGUGGUUUAUAGGCAUCUCAUAUAGCAUCAUUGUAUUAGAAAACAUCACAAACAAAAAAGACAUCUCACCUCAUUUCCACUAUAAUCAACAAGAAAGUAUCAAAAAUUGCCCCAAAAAUCAAGAGCUACUAUCUCACAACAAACAACAAUAAUAUCAAAACGCAAUCAAAGUUAAAGAAAUUUUUUUUUAGCCAAAAUUAAAACCUUUCAGCGAGGCGAGCUGUGACUGCUCUGAGCUUCGAAUACACUUUCGCAGCAGGGGAUCCCAAAAUGAGGCUGCAAAGCGAAUCCCUCGCGACCUUGAUGUUCGCAAACGAGCCGAGCAUAUGAAUCUUCGAAUCCGCGAUCACGAUCCGCGUCCUCGUCGAAUUCUCGAUCGCGAAUUUCGUCUUCCCGCCUUUCCCGCUCAGCCGCCCGAUCGCGCGCGACAGGUGCUCCCCUUUCAGCGUCUUGACGUCCUUGAUCUCGAACGACUCGACGUAGAGCUCGUCCAUCCGGAGCAUCGCCACGGCGUCGACCACGUCGAAGCCGAGCAUGAACGCGUGCACGAAGUCGGCGCACUUCUGCAGGCUGCUCGCGUCAGGGGUGUCGGGCCGGGUCUUGAGCUCGACCCUGCGCGCCUUGAGGUUCAUCCGGAUGUCGAUUCUCAUCUCCUCGUAGAUCGGGGUGUAGAUCUCGAGCCACGCUUUUUUAAGAGGCGUGUAGCGGUGCGGCGGCACCGAGAUCUUGCGGAACUGGAUCUGACCGUCGGAGAUUUCGUGCGCCUUCAGAGGCCGGAAGUUCGGUUUCUGUGCGAAUAGAACCGUAGGCUUCUGCGGCGGAGCGGCUGCGGCUUCGACAUCCAUGGCGACGGGAGCGGAGGCGGCGGCGGCGCUUUGGAAAGGAACACAAAAUAAGGGUUCAGUCCAAGAGAAAAUUUGCUAUUUAUUUUUGUUUUGGGGUCAAAUUUGCAUACAAUCAAAGGUUCAAUUCAACUAGGGUUAAAAAACCUUAUUAUCUAUAACUUUGGUAGAAUCAACCGAUUUCAAUUGGAUCAAACUAAAUAAAGAUGCAAAGCCUAUAUUGAUAUAUCUACUGUAACAUUCCCUUCAAAACAUCAGUUUCUACCCAGAAAGCAUAAUAAUAUGCAUUACCUGCAGAUAUUAGCUCUCUGUAGUCGAGCAAUGCGAUAAUAAAAAGAAAGUCUAUGAUCGCGUGAAGGUGGUGACUCUGGUGGCGAGAGCUGGAACCGAUUGAAGCGUGAAGGUUUUGAUGGAGUCGGACACGCAGGCCGCAGAGGAAAACUGGAGUCCUGCGCGUGGCGGCUGGAGUGUGGGAGAGAUGAAGUUUGAGGAAUUAGGGUUAGAAAGUUAGAGAUGGGAGGGACCGAAUGAGAUUUUAAAAUUAAAAAAGUGAUAUAUAUAUAUAUAUAUAUAGUAGUAUAUGUGUAUAUGUAUAUAUAUAUAUAUAUAUAGGGGCGCGCUCCAGUGAGACCCCCUAUUUUUCGUGUAACAUGAGUACAAUGAAUAAGACAUAUAAUACUAAUGAACAAAACGUAUAUCUAAUGAACAAGAUGUAUAUAUUGAUGAAAUUUAAAAAAAAAAAAUUCGUAAUGAAUAAGACAUAUAUACUGAUGAACAAGGCUGUAUAUAUUGAUGAACAAUGCAGUAUAUAGUGAUGAAUAACAAAAUUUAAAAUAUUCUGCUCCCUUCAGGAUUCGAACCCUGCGAAAAAAAAUCACCCUCCAGAUACAAUAUCAGCCAUAGGAUUGAUGAAAUAAACGCACCGGAUCGUAGCCCUAGAUCUCACUAAAAUUAGAGGGUCUCAUUGGAGCGGCCCCCCUAUAUAUAUAUAUAUAUAUAUAUAUAUAUAUAUAUAUAUAUAUAUAUAAAUAAUUCUUAAAAUAUAAAAUAGAAACCAAUUUCAGUCCUGCGGUUGACUCAUCACCCUGUUGGAUGAAUUCAUGGUCCCGAGUUCAAAUCACAUAGGUAGCAAAAAAAUUAUUUUUCACAAUUCACACAUUUACACGGCGGAUUCAUACGUGUUCUACAUAGAACUCAUACAUUUUAGCUAGUUCGUAUUUUAUAUGUUAAGAAAUGUUUAUACCCUAACCCUCCCACAGGGAUGAGCUAAAAUAAAAACACAUCUUAGAAUAUAAAAUAGGAAUCAUUUUCAGCCCUUAGAUCAUCAAUAUCUACGGUUGAUUCAUCACCUUGUUGGAUGAAUUAAUGGUCCCGAGUUCAAAUCCCAUAUGUAGCAAAAAAAAAUUCGCAAUUCAUACAUUCACACAACGAAUUCAUACAUGUUCUACACAAAAUUCAUAAAUUUUAGCCAAUUUGCAUUUUAUAUGUUAAGAAGAAGUAAAAAUAAAACCUGAUGGGCUAGGCUUGAAAAAAAAUAAUAAUAUACAAAACACAUUACACAUACACACACACACGAUGCCUAAUGAAAAUUAGUUAAAAUAAAUGGACUUUUUCAAUAUAGUAUACUUUUGAAAUUAUUUAUUUCCUUCGUCGGUCAAAAGUAUGUCAUUUUGGUUGGACACGAAUUUUAAUAAAAGGGGCAAUUGCCCCUAAAUACAUAAACUUUCACAGAUUUUUGAUAUUGCACACCACCUUUAAAUUCAGCCCCAACAAUACAUAACCUUUGAUAAUUUUCUGAUUUUUCCCAUGGCACCUGAAAUCCCCAAAUUUAGAAAUGAUGUGGACGCCGGAACGCCCAUGUGGACUCGCCGGACAAUUGGCCAAAACGACGUCGUCCUAAUUUAAUAGGAAACGACGUCGUUUCAGUGUAUUCCCAAAUUAAAUCCAACUUCCCCUCUCCCCUUUUUGUAGCUGAGGCCUAAUUAAUCUUCAAGGUAGAAAUCGCGAUUGUGAGAGAAGAGAACAAUGAGCAAUGACUGGAUAACUCGAGUGCCGAACCAUGUUUGCAAGAGAGUAUUCAUUCCCGACAUAAAGAGCAAUGGCUGCAUAACUCGAGCUUUAUCACCCUGUUGGUAACUUAGUUCGUUUUAACAAGUGUAGAAAAAAGUAAAAUACACAUACAGGGCUGCCGCCCAUCCGAGGCACUAGUGGAGUGGCAAUCAUCACAGUGUUUCCAAGCAUGACAAAUUAAUGUUGGAAACCCAACACUGUUGUUUUAUACUGCAAUAUGUGAACCAUUCAACCAUAACAUUAAUGAAGAACUACUAAUAUAACUACCAAUUACUAAAUAGUUCUCCAUCGAAGAAGAAUUAUGGUUGUCCCUGUUCUCUUUUCCCACAAUCGCGAUUUCAAACGAGAAAUGUUAAUUAGGGCUCAGCUUGAAGAAGACGGUGAAUUUCAUUUCGCUCCCUGCUCGAGCCCUUGCUCCCUUCUCCCUGCUUUAUUCAAUUCUCGCAAAUCGAGUCCCUGCUCCCUCAUCCUGCAAAUCGAGUUUCCUGUUCCCCGCUCUCUUCGAUGCUCGCUCCUUCACCGAAGACGUUCGCUUGCACUCACUUGCGCGAUUUCAGAUGAAGUUAUGCGAUUUCAAAGAAAGGCUAUCUCAAAGGACGAAAAUUAGGGCUCAACUGCAAAGGGGGCGGGGGAAAAUUAGGCUGUGAGGAAUUAAGGCUUCGAUUUCCCAUUAAAUUAGGACGACGUCAUUUUGGCCAACUGUCCGGCGAGUCCACGUGCACGUGGGGAUUUCAGGUGCCACGGAAAAAAUCAGAAAAUUAUCAAAGAUUAUAUAUUGUGGGGCUGAAUUUAAAGAUAAUGUGCAUUUUCAAAAAUCUGUAAAAAUUUAUAUAUUUAGGGGCAAUUAUCCCAGUGAUAAUCUUUGUACAAACAUGCCGAACCAAGUGGCCAUUGGGCCAUUGGGGUAUACCAAAGACCAUUGCAUGAAUUAAUAUUUAAUCUCUUUCAGUUCAAUCUACUCAAUACUUUUUGUCACUAUAUUAUUAUUCAUAGUGCAUGCCCAAAGAUUUGACUUAAAUCACACACAAACGAGUUAGAUUUUUUUCUCGUAGAUAUCAAUGGUGAUUGCAACUCACCAAGUCUUCAGAAAAUCCAAUAUGUGCAAUAAAAAAUACGCAGUCACAUUCAUUAAUCUAGUGUUUAAUUAUUUUUUUUAAUGAAAAAAGAUUUAAGUAAGAAAAUCUGCUAGUAUAGGGCAUUCUCUUCGACUUAUCGUCCCGAAUUUUUGAAGUUCUAUUCACUUAUUCCCAACACAUAAAAAUGCUUGAUUAAUAGCACACAUAUAAAAUACAUACACAUAUAUAUCAGUUAAUAUAUGAUAAGAACUCCGAGAUUAUAAGUAAUUAGAACAUAAGCACACACCCUAGAAAAUAAGACCAAAGCGAUGAGGUCAAGUAGUACCCAAAGCUAUAUUUAAUUAAUACUCAAUUUUGAUCAUUGAUAAUAAAAUUACUAAGAAAUAUUAAUAAUGUCUAAACUACAGAUGAGAUUUAAGAUUUAGGUACCAUAAUCCAUAAUCGAAGACCAAAUAAUACUUUUUAUGAGCAAUAUUAAGGGUUGACAUAACUAAGCAAUUAUAUAUAAUUAAAUCUGCAGAAACGAAAAAUGUUAGAUAAGCAUAUAUAUUUAUACAGAGGGAGAGAAAGGAUCCAAUAAAAAUGGAUAAAUAUGGCGAGAAAUAAGAAUAUUAAUCAAUAUACAUAUAUAUGUCUCAUUUAUCUGAUUUAAAAAAAAUCAAAAAUAAACUAAGAAAUUUACACCACUUUUCUCGUUUGUUUCUCAUCUUAGGAUUCAGUUUUCACCAAAACGAACUACUAAUAAUUAAGUUUUAUAUAUAUAUAUACUUAUUCCAACAAAAAACCUUAAACCCUAGCAAUAAUCUUGAAAGGACGGAAUAUUUUCUACAAAUUCAGAUCAACAAUUUCAUCCGAUCCAUUCAAGAAUAAAAAAAACAAAAAAAAGGCCUCAAUCACCAGAAUUUAGAUUUUUUGGCAGUGGAGCGAAGCAGUAGCUUAUUCCAAAACCCUCCUUUUUUCUUCUUAUUAACGCCGUCGUCUCUCGCCGGAGCAUAAUUCGCCAUCGACCUACUCUUCUUCAAGCCGUUGCCCAACGCCACAUAAAUGGAGUCCAUGACAUCGGACGCCACCCUCAGGUGGCGGCGCCGUUGACUGCGGCCGCGCGCCGGCGAAGAUCCGGCGGAUGAAGAGGCGGAGUGGCAGCCGAAGUAAUACACCGCCGAAGCCGAUGCCGAAGGCGAAGACUGGAAAACAGUAUCACACGGUGCUGAAUAUUUACCGAUAAUUCUCGACAGCCUUUCUCUCAGACAAGAGGGGCAGAUUCCCGGUUGAGGAGUUUCAUCUGGAUGCCUUCCGCAAACGACUGCUGCUGCCGACCAACCCAUCUCUCUCUCUCUCUCUCUUAAGCGUGUGGUUGUGGGAAUGUUGGAGAAGGGGAAUUAUGUGUGUAUAUAUAUGGUCAUGGGAGGAGACAACGCACGUGUGGGCUUUUGGUCGUAUGCUUUGAAUUUUGUGGGUGGAAUUGUGUGAAACGAGAAAUUUUCGAGGAAUUUGUUUUCGG
rnacentral:lncRNA from 1 species